GGAAGACCACUCAGCACAGAGGACUGUUCCCAAAUAGGGAAAAAUGGGAGGCAGCCAGCAGACACGUGCCUUCUCAUAUGAUGGAGUGUGGUGACUCUUCUCUGCUGCUCUGUGUUUACACAGCCAACUCUCAGGCAGGAUUCUCAACUGGACCAUACAAUGUGAACAUGGCAGAGGUACAAAGAAUACAGUGGAAAAUAUAAAUGAAAAGAAAGAUUUGGAACAUACUGUGAAGAACCUUGGCUAUGAUGCUCAAGAUUCUGAGAGGCUUUAAUAUGUUUUUUUUUUUUAUGAGAAGUGGGUGAAAUGAUUAAAUGCUGUAAUUUAAAAAAUAACUCACGUGGUAAGGUG
rnacentral:lncRNA from 1 species